GAUGAACGCUGGCGGCGUGCCUAAUACAUGCAAGUCGAGCGAACAGACGAGGAGCUUGCUCCUCUGACGUUAGCGGCGGACGGGUGAGUAACACGUGGAUAACCUACCUAUAAGACUGGGAUAACUUCGGGAAACCGGAGCUAAUACCGGAUAAUAUAUUGAACCGCAUGGUUCAAUAGUGAAAGACGGUUUUGCUGUCACUUAUAGAUGGAUCCGCGCCGCAUUAGCUAGUUGGUAAGGUAACGGCUUACCAAGGCAACGAUGCGUAGCCGACCUGAGAGGGUGAUCCGCCAAACUGGAACUGAGACACGGUCCAGACUCCUACGGGAGGCAGCAGUAGGGAAUCUUCCGCAAAGGGCGAAAGCCUGACGGAGCAACGCCGCGUGAGUGAUGAAGGUCUUCGGAUCGUAAAACUCUGUUAUUAGGGAAGAACAAAUGUGUAAGUAACUAUGCACGUCUUGACGGUACCUAAUCAGAAAGCCACGGCUAACUACGUG
rnacentral:rRNA from 1 species